AUGCCUCGCACAAGCAGGGCAGAGAAAUCGUUGAAGUCCUGCAACGAGGACCGGAUCAGCGCCCUGCCGGACGACGUCCUGCGCCAUGUUCUUGGCUUCCUGCCGGCGGAUGAGGCAGUGCACACCUGCCUGCUUGCCCGGCGCUGGCGCUACCUUUGGAAAUCCAUGCGCCGUCUUCGCAUCAACAAAAUUGGGAGGUGGGGGAGCAGCUCUGGCGUUUUCCUUACCAAGUUUGUGAGCUGCAUGCUGCUUCUCCGAGACCCUGGCUCAACUCUAGAUGAGGUCGAGAUCGAGUAUGAACGUCAUUUUGACGACGAUCAUACUUGGACAUCAACAUGGAUCCAUCAUGCUUUGUCAUGCCAAGCUCAGGUCCUCACUGUCAAGUUCCCUUUGCAUCAGUUCUUGGUCUGCUAUUUGGACGGCCCUCCUCUUGUCUCCCGGUAUUUAAGAAGAUUGCAGGUUUCUGAUGUGACGUUGAAAAGCAACUUCCUAAAAUUUUCAAGCUGUUCAGCACUGGAGUAUCUGAAGAUAAAAGACAGCAACUUAGAGACUGUGAGUAGCGUCCUUUCCCAGUCUUUAAAGCAUCUGAGCAUCGAGGAUUGUUAUUUAAAAAAUGAUGGCCGGAUUCGUAUUUCUGUCCCAAAUCUUGUUUCACUGCAACUCAUAUCAUGUGGAGGUAGAGUCCCAUUGCUCGAAGGCAUGCUGUCAUUAGAAACCGCAGUUGUCAGGCCUCAAGUCUGCUGGAAGGAUUGCUGUCUUGAAGGUGUGGCUGAGGGGUGUUGUGGUACUUGUGCGAAUUGUUGUGGUAAUGAUGACCACAAUGGUGGCUGUAUACUUUUCGGAGGUCUGUCUCGUGCUAAAAACCUGGAGUUGACAGCUGAUCCGGAAAUGUUUAUUUUCAGAAGGGAUUUGAGGUGGUGCCCUACAUUUAGUAGGUUAAAGACAUUGUUGCUGAGCGAGUGGUGUGUGCAACCUGACCUCCAUGCACUAGUUUGUAUGCUUGAACAUUCACCGGUUCUUGAGAAUCUGACACUUCAAUUGUGUGAGCAAGAAAAAACUAUAUAUGGAAUGGAAGUGGAAGAAAAUCCUGGUUUGAUGGAGAAACCAGCUGCUAUUUCGGGAUACCUGAAGACUAUCGAAGUCAAAUGUGAAGAGGUUGAUAACAGAGUUUGCAAAGUUCUGAAGUUCUUGAGUACAUUUGGCAUUGCAAUUACUAUCCAAAGGACUAACAGAUAG
rnacentral:rRNA from 1 species